GCUCAGGGCAGUGGGCAUGGUGGCCAGUUCAGCUGUCUCCCUGACCCUUUGCUUUUCUAGACCCAAGGAUGAAUUCCCGGCUCCUCGUACACUUGCCACUCCCUGUCAUUCUUCUUUCUGUCUUCUAUCUUUUGGUGGUGGCAAGUCCUUGCUUCAUGUCUGGAUGGGAGUGUCUGAGGUUUGCAGGAUCCCUCGCUGCCUAUAGCCCAGGCCUGGUGGCCCUCUCAGGGUACAUAUUCUAUGAGGCCACCCUCUGCACUGCUGACAGAAUGAUCAUCCCAGACACCUACGCACCAAAAGGAACUGCUGACCCUAUGAAGGCUUCCCAGCAGCAGGGACAAGACGACCUGGAAAUCUGCGUGCUCAUUAAGAUUACAUGGCUACAGGCUACAGCACCUUUGGAGAGUCCUUCUGUUAACACUCUCAGUAGCUUCUCCCCAUCUCCCUGUGCUCACAGGCAUCUUCCUGCAGACAGGUCUUCUUCAUAUUACAAAAGAAGCCAGAGCACAUCACCUUUCUGCAUGUCUGCCAUGUUCUUCAAACAGUGGGCUGGCGCCAGAUAUGUGUCACAUGGUCAAGAGCUUCCUACCACCCUUGGGCAGGGGACUGUGGGAGAUUCUCAGAGCCAUCUGCCUUGA
rnacentral:lncRNA from 1 species